rnacentral:misc_RNA from 1 species
CCAAACUUGGUCAUUUAGAGGAAGUAAAAGUCGUAACAAGGUCUCCGUUGGUGAACCAGCGGAGGGAUCAUUACAGAGAUUCAUCUCACCCAACCCUUGUGAACCUUACCCAGUAUGCCUCGGCGGGACGUCGGCGGAGCUGCUUGCUCCGGUCGACACCCCGCCAAAGGGGCGCAUUAAACUCUUGACAACAAUCUUGAACUCUGAAGAACUAGCAAAUAGUUAAAACUUUCAACAACGGAUCUCUUGGUUCUGGCAUCGAUGAAGAACGCAGC